AUCAAUAAGUUGUAUUUUUAAGAUAAAAUUCUCAAAAAUUCUAUUUUAGGAAAGUUUUAUUUUUAUUGAGAAAUAUUGUAGAUUUGGGGUUCUGAUUUAGAAAUUAGAACAACGAGAAUUUUUGUUGAUAAAUGAGCAUUCUUUUAAAAGUUUUGAUCAAUAGGUUGUAUGUUUUAGAUAAAAUUCUCAAAAAUUCUAUUUUUAGAAAGUUUUCAUUUUUAUAGAGAAAUAUUGUAGAUUUGGGGUUGUGAUUUAGAAUUUUGGAUAACAAGAAUUUUUGUUGAUAGAUGAGUAUUCUUUGAGGAUUUUUGAUCAAUAAGUUGUAUUUUUAAGAUAAAAUUCUCAAAAAUUCUAUUUUAGGAAAGUUUUUAUUUUUAUUGAGAAAUAUUGUAGAUUUGGGGUUCUGAUUUAGAAAUUAGGAUAACAUGAAUUUUUGUUGAUAGAUGAGUAUUCUUUUAGAUUUUUUGAUCAAUGAAUUUUUGUUGAUAGAUGAGUAGGAAAGUUUUAUUUUUAUUGAGAAAUAUUGUAGAUUUGGGGUUCUGAUUUAGAAAUUAGGACAACAAGAAUUUUUGUUGAUAGAUGAGUAUUCUUUUAAAAGUUUUGAUCAAUAGGUUGUAUAUUUUAGAUAAAAUUCUCAAAAAUUCUAUUUUUGGAAAGUAUUCAUUUUUGUGAAUAAUAGUGUGGAUUUGGGGUUUUGAUUUAGAAAUUAGGAUAACAAGAAUUGUUUGUUGAUAGAUGAGUAUUCAUUUAGAUUUUUUUGAUCAAUAGUUGUAUUUUUUAAAUAUAAUUCUCAAAAGUUCUAUUUUAUGAAAGUUUUCAUUUUCUAUAGAAAUAUUGUAGAUUUAGGGUUCUGAUUUAGAAAUGAGGAUAACAAUAUUUUUUGUUGAUACAUCAGUAUUUUUUAGAUUUUUUUUAUCAAUAGGUUGUAUAUUUUAGAAACAAUUUCAAAAAUUCUAUUUUUAGAAAGUUUUCAUUUUUAUAGAAAAAUAUUGUUGAUUUGGGGUUGUGAUUUAGAAUUUUGGAUAACAAGAAUUUUUUUUGAUUGAUGAGUAUUCUAUAAGGAUUUUUGAUCAAUAGGUUGUAUUUUUUAGAUAAAAUUCUCAAAAAUUCUAUUUUAAGAAAGUUUUUAUUUUUAUUUAGAAAUAUUGUAGAUUUGGGGUUCUGAUUUAUAAAUUAAGAUAACAAGAAUUUUUGUUGAUAGAUAAGUAUUCUUUUAGGAUUUUUGAUCAAUAAGUUGUAUUUUUUAGAUAAAAUUCUCAAAAAUUCUAUUUUAGGAAAGUUUUUUUAUUUUUAUUGAGAAAUAUUGUAGAUUUGGGGUUCUGGUUUAGAAAUUAGUACAACAAGAAUUUUUGUUGAUAGAUGAUCAUUCUUUUAAAAGUUUUGAUCAAUAGGUUGAAUAUUUUAGAUAAAAUUCUCAAAAAUUCUAUUUUUGGAAAGUUUUCAUUUUUAUAGCGAAAUAUUGUAGAUUUGGGGUUGUGAUUUAGAAUUUUGGAUAACAAAAUUUUUUGUUGAUAGAUGAGUAUUCUUUGAGGAUUUUUGAUCAAUAAGUUGUAUUUUUAAGGUAAAAUUCUCAAAAAUUCUAUUUUAGGAAAGUUUUUAUUUUUAUUGAGAAAUAUUGUAGAUUUGGGGCUCUGAUUUAGAAAUUAGGACAACAAGAAUUUUUGUUGAUAAAUGAGCAUUCUUUUAAAAGUUUUGAUCAAUAGGUUGUAUAUUUUAGAUAAAAUUCUCAAAAAUUCUAUUUUUGGAAAGUUUUCAUUUUUGUGAAUAAUAGUGUGGAUUUGAGGUUUUGAUUAAGAAAUUAGGAUAACAAGAAUUGUUUGUUGAUAGAUGAGUAUUAUUUUAGAUUUUUUGAUCAAUUUUUUAAAUAUAAUUCUCAAAAAUUCUGUUUUAGGAAAGUUUUAUUUUUCUAAAAAAAUAUUGUAGAUUUGGGGUUGUGAUUUAGAAAUUAAGAUAACAAUAUUUUUAGUUGAUAGAUGAGUAUUUUCUUUAGAUUUUUUGAUCAAUAGGUUGUAUAUUUUAGAUAAAAUUCUCAAAAAUUCUAUUUUUAGAAAGUUUUCAUUUUUAUAGCGUAAUAUUGUUGAUUUAGGGUUGUGAUUUAGAAUUUAGGAUAACAAGAAUUUUUGGUGAUAGAAGAGUAUUCAUUGAGGAUUUUUGAUCAAUAAGUUGUAUUUUUAAGAUAAAAUUCUCAAAAAUUCUGUUUUAGGAAAAUUUUAUUUUUAUUGAGAAAUAUUGUAGAUUUGGGGUUCUGAUUUAGAAAUUAGGACAACAAGAAUUUUUGUUGAUAGAUGAGCAUUCUUUUAAAAGUUUUGAUCAAUAGGUUGUAUAUUUUAGAGAAAAUUCUCAAAAAUUCUAUUUUUGGAAAGUUUUCAUUUUAUAGAGAAAUAUUGUAGAUUUGGGGUUGUGAUUUAGAAUUUAGGAUAACAAGAAUUUUUGUUGAUAUAUAAGUAUUCUUUAAGGAUUUUUGAUCAAUAAGUUGUAUUUUUAAGAUAUUAUUCUCAAAAAUUCUAUUUUAGGAAAGUUUUCAUUUUUUUGUAGAAAUGUUAUAGAUUUGAAGUUGUGAUUUUGAAAUUAGUAUAACAAGAAUUUUUGUUGAUAGAUGAGUAUUCUUUUAAAAGUUUUGAUCAAUACGUUGUAUAUUUUAGAUAAAAUUCUCAAAAGUUCUAUUUUUGGAAAGUUUUCAUUUUUGUGAAUAAUAGUGUGGAUUUGGGGUUUUGAUUUAGAAAUUAGGAUAACAAGAAUUGUUUGUUGUUAGAUGAGUAUUCUUUUAGAUUUUUUAUCAAUUGUUGUAUUUUUUGGAUAUGAUUCUCAAAAGUUCUAUUUUAGGAAAGUUUUCAUUUUCUAUACAAAUAUUGUAGAUUUGGGGUUGUGAUUUAGAAAUUAGGAUAACAAUAUUUUUUGUUGAUAGAUGAGUAUUUUUUUAGAUUUUUUGAUCAAUAG
rnacentral:lncRNA from 1 species